AUGAUAUUGGUGAUAGCAAGAGCUAGAUGUCCGAUUCCUGUGAUUCGGAGUGCACAAGCUGAUGCUGUUACUGUUUCACGCGAGAAGAGCAAGAUCACUGUCACUUCUCCAACGUUGACAACAUCCACAGCUACAUCAAUUCGAGGCAGCAACAUUAUCAAUCCGCUUCCCUCUGUCCAGCUUCAGACAAGCAAUUUGGUGGUACCCAAGAUCUUUUGA